AGAAAAAACGGAACCAGUCCUCUUUACUUAGCUUGUUUUAUCGAAAAUGAAAACUUGGUGAAAUGUUUAUUGAACAACGGAGCAAAUGUAAACUUUCAUUCAGAGGAAGUAAACAAUUUUUUUCUAAAUAGCGUGUCAAAAUGGAUCUGACGAAAUUCUACAAUUUUGGUUCACAAAGGCGCAGACAAAACAUAUACAAAAUUGACGAUUGUUGAGCAUUCUGCACUGGACAUGAAAAAAUUGUAAACUUAUUGAGAAACGAAGCACAUAUUUAAUGCAAAAACGGAAAAUGCAAUCAGUCAUUCUAAUAUAGCUUGUCAACGAGGAAAUUAGGGUAUCGUUCGGUUGCAGAAGUGCAAAAUGUAAACUUUUGGAAGAACGACGGACACGGUCCACACCGCAGUGCUGAAAAAAAAUCUGAAUUUUAAAUGUUCCCAGAUGUAUGUGUUUUAGUUCAUUCUUAAGUCUUUUGUAAAUUACAUGCUUAUUUGUAAUGCUAAGUUUCCAUUGUUGUGCAAUCUGUUACGAACACCAUAAACACCAUGAUCAUAGCUAAUCGUGGAAGCUCUU
rnacentral:sRNA from 1 species